AAAAGAAUACACCAGAAAACGCGAAUUUAGGGUUCUUCGUGAAAUCCUUCUUUACUCGAUCUUAAUGGUGUAGACGGUAGAGGGUUUAAAAUUAACUAAACAUCUCGAAUGUAGAGGUUACUGUCUAAACGGAGAUGUGUAUUUGUUACCUGCUUACAAAGUCGUCAUAGAAGAGUAGUAAGUAUAUGGACGGGAGAGAAAGAUGAGGCUAUAAAUCAAUCACAAUCGGCUUUACAUAUGAAAGAUAGAAAGAGAAAGGUCAUAAGGAGGUGACUCACACUGAUAGAAGAGACGAAAUGGUUGCUUACUGAAGAUACAAAGGCUUUCUCAAUUCCUUGUGGCACCUACCAUCAACAACAACAUGCAGGCUCUAAAUUGAGUAUUUUCUAUCCCAGGAAGGUGCCGAUUGCGAAGUUAUUGUGACCCAUUUGCUUAUGAGGGUAACACAAACAGCAGGCUCAUGGACGUCGCGAUCCAGGUCAGCCAGGAAAGUGUGUACCGAAACCAUCACCGGAAGAUACCAAAGAAUACAAAGGAUAUAAGGGAAAUCAUGCCAAAUCCGCCACCGUGGUCAUCUCUUAAAAGAUAAGUAAAUAGACCAUCAUAUUGUUUAUUAGAUUUUAUAUACGAUUAUACACAGCCACCAAAUACUAAAACUCAUAUUAUAUAGUCAGCUCUAACCCCUGCAUCUAUGUUUUUUGCAGGGCACAAAACCCCGGAGAUUUUAACAACACGGAGUUUUUAUAUUUACAAUCCGAGGGAAGGACUGAGAAAGCUACGAACGCCAAAUUCAGUUGCACCACCGGUCACAUAUGCCCAAACAUGUAAGACUCCAACAAAUUAUUUUUUUAACCAAAAAAAUGAAAACUGCAUUAGGUCUGAACAUAUGAAAAGAGUAGUACUAAAAACUUAGAUAAUUCAAAUAAAUAUGAGUCUUUCUUAAGCUUAUAACCUAGGAUAGGUGAAACGAAGUAAACUUGAGAUGAUUUCUACUCGGUUGCCGUGUGCUCCUUCACUGAUUGUCCUUGCGAAAUACAUAACCAGGAUAUAAUGAUUAAUUUAUUAAAAGUCAUUGCUUAUUAUACCAUAAUACGUAAUUAUUAAACCGUUGUAUCUACUUACAAAAUAGCUACGACAGAUGUUACCUUGCAACCAGUAAUAUACGAAUGAAAGCCUUCGCAAAAAUCUGUGAAACAUGUUAGUACAACGUCAACACUUCGGACAAAUCAUCAAACGAAAGCAUAAACAAUAUUGGGUUUGAAAACACUAACCGUGAAUUUAAGGCAACAAUCGGACAUAGACAUAAGAACUACUCUUCAUUGCUUUUAUCAAACAGAUUCUGAAAAACUUCCUUGAAUACUACAUUCAUGGUUGACUCUUGGGGUUUUCCGUCUUUGUCAGUUAUCAAUAUCUUCAAUCCUUUCCUUGACUUAACCCUUGACACAGCCACAUAUAGUUGACCAUGUGAGAACACAGGUCUGGGAAGAAACAGACCUACAUUAGAUAGUGUUUGUCCCUGGCUCUUGUUGAUAGUCAUAGCAAAUGCAACUUUUAGUGGAAAUUGCCUUCGUCUCAUCUUGAACGGAAGCUUCGUAUCUGAUGGCUCUAUCAAGAUUCUGUGUAAAAACACCGUCUCCC